ensembl:lncRNA
UUCAGUACAGUAUAUGUUGUGAGCGUGCUUCAGAUCUCCGGAGAUAGCACGGUACGCUGUGUCCAGCCCAGAGGUGAAAGCCAUCCAAAGCAGAGUAACUGUGCUUGUGUCCAAGUUGAUACCUGUGGAGAGGAAAGGAAAGAGAGAGUGAAUAACACGAGGAGGAAUAGAGCGAACCCUGUACUUACAGUACGCUGUGUCCAGCCCAGAGGUGAGAGCCAUUCAAAGCAAACUAACUGUGCUAUUGUGCCUAAGUUGAUACCUGUGGAGAGAAAAGGAGAGAGAGUGGGUAACACGAGGAGAGACCGAGGAAACCUGUACUUACGCCGCUGCCUGUGGAGAAAGAGAAAGCGACCGUUGCCUGUGGAGGAAGAGAAAGAGAGUGAGCACCUCGAGAACGAACUGUGUGAACCAGUACUUACCGUGAGCUGUAUUCAGCGAAGAGGAGGAAGAAGGAGGGCGCUACGGAUACCUAAGACUCAGGCCGGGGCCCGAGUCCCACGCCCCGGAUCCCCGUGGCCCCCUUGCUCCCUGACCUCUUCCCGGCCAUAGCCCAUCUGGAGGGCCGAGUCAGAGUUUAGUUUUAAUUGCCCUUUCCCUAUUCCCCAAGCUAUUUUUAAAUAUUUAAAUAAAGAUUGUUUUAUCACUUACUUGUUCUCGUGUUGUUUGGCCAUUGGGUUGGCUUUGGGGACCUCCUCGAGGUGGAAGUUGAGAAGGGGUGUGGCUUAGUCAAAGCAUAGCCAGCCCCUGGGUGUGACAUUAAUGUUGUACAAAAUGUGUAUUUAAUCAUUUUUGUUAAUCUUGUCAGGAUACAAUUCCUUUAACAUUUUGCUGUCAACACAAUAGGAAAAAGUGUUGCAGAGAAGGAAAAAAAACAAAAAAAAAGUACUAAUAUAGCUGUUACUGCUGCUGGUGGGUUAAUCAAGGCGCACAAAGGAUAUAACAAAAAGGCUUUUAAUGAUCCACGGGAGAGAAAAGGGCACAUCCAAUAGUAAAUAACAUUAACAAUCAACGUAAACCUCAACAAUAGCGGACAAGGAGGAAGUAAACAAACAGGGCUUUUAAACACCAGGAAAGUAAUCAGAGGAGUGGAAACAGGUGGGGAGUAAUCAAUUAACAAAACGAGGAACGGAACAUGACCAAAUAGGGAUAACACAAAAGGAACAGAAAGUCCGUGACUGUGACAAUAGCCCAUUAGCUAUUUUUAUUAGUCUUGUCAAAAUACUAAAUUGGUAAGAAAAGUGUCACAGAAAAUAAAUACAACAUCUGUCAAUUAUUAUAGGCAAUAUAUAUUUAGCACAUCCACACUUUGCUCCAUCCUUAUUCUGCUCUGUCACUGAACACUUAUGCACAUGCUGACCCCACAUGUACAAUGUGUCACGCAGAAAGCACUGGUUCAUGCGUGCAGUGCAUGCAUAACAGUCCUGAGUGCAGGCUGUACCUGUGGUCAACAAGAAUAGAGCACAGAUAUGCCGUUCUGAAAGGAUGUCAGGAAAAAGAUAUUGUUAGACCAACCGCUCUCAUUCAAAUUACACCAAAGCAACAUUUGAACUGUUGUAAUAUAUUUUAUUAUAUUUGAUUUGUAUGAAGACCAAAAGCCCUCACAUCAGCAUUAUUUCCUAACUAUAUUACACUUCUUUCCAGGUGUAUUACAAUGGUGCUGAGACUGUCACAAUACACUGCCAGAAGGAACACAGAGCCGAGGAUAAGCGAAAUUAGACUAUUAAUCCAACACUGGGGUUAAUCCAAUGUGGAAACAGGAGGAAGACACACGUAUGUAACUUGUAGACCCGACAAACACAGACUGAACAGACUAGGACCUUUAAAAGACAGGAUAAUUGGGGAAACACAGGUGAGUGGAAUGACAAUUAACAGGGGCAUGGAACACAUGGGGAAGAAACUAGACACAUCUGGGAACUAAUCAAACCAAACACGGGAGACAGAAACUGGGUCAUGGGGCAAAAACAAACUAAAUGAAUCCAGGGGUGUGACAAUACGCCCCUCUCCCGUAAGGUGCAUCCUAGCACCGUAUAAAACAGAGGGAGGCAUGGGUGGGAACUUGGGAGGAGGUUCCGGGGGAGGACAAACUCCUGGGAGGGGUCCAGCAGACAGAGACCACGGAGGAAGGAGCCAGGGAGGAGACGAUGGAGGGAGGAGACAGGAGGAGCCCAGCAGGACCCAGGCCACAGCCAUAACAGCCCAAGGUGGAGCCAACGGUGGAAGGGGCCAUGGAAGAGGAAUGGCCGCCGACUCCAGGGGGCCGAGCAACAGCGGCAGAGCAGGUGGAGGAGCCUGAGACGGAGAGCUGAAGAGCCAGGGUGACGGGGAGGAUCCGGAGGUCCUAGGCGGAACUGAUGGCUCUGGCGACGACACAGAGAUGUGGAUCCAGAAAGCCGCAGUGGAGCCAGAGCGACAGAGGACUGAGGUGGAGCCGAGGGGAAGAAGGAGCCUGACAGAGCCAGAGGGAUGGAGGGGGAGAGAGGCGGAGCCGAAGGGACAAGGGAGCCAGGCGGAGCUUGUGGACUGCCGGGCCACGGCGCAGAGGAGGGAACUAGUCUCUUGCAUUAAUGAUACAAUGACAAAUACAUUAAACAGUUGCUUGUCCGCUGGUCUAACGUAAUUGAUACAAUCUUUAUUUGAAGCACCUUUAUUUGAAGUUACUUUCAAAAAGUGAUUUACUCUAUUAUUUUUAUCACUGUUAUCCAAACUAAAAACUUGUAUCGCAGUUCUUUGAUUAUCUAUGUUAAUUUGAAUAAUUUUAACAAAAAUAAUGAUACGGUGUGGUUGAAAAAUACAAUUUGUGAAGCUUUUUCAUAUCUAUGACUCUCUGGGUCAGCGGCAGCUGUUCGCUGUGAUCGACUGUACUUGCCCAAGGUUAAACAGACAGACAAAUCUGUCUUAAAUAGGUAUGAUAUUUUGUGGGUGUUUGAAGCGAGAUCGCAAUCUUUUAAUGAUUAAUUGUGCAACUCCAUUACUUCGUUAACAAGUAAUAAUUUCAAAUUGAUUUUUGUGGUUCUGAGUUUGAAAACUGUCUUACCCUCCAUCUCCAGAAACCAGUCCCGCCAGAAUGCAACGGUCCCUGGUCUCUUGUCUCCUUUUAUGGGAGCCUCUUGGUGAGCUGAAUUGUGGCUUGAACAGCUCCACAAUGCCAGCAGCAGUAAUUUGGGCAUCAGUUUUCAGGAAUUGUUCUUGAAAAACUGUUGGGUGAGCCACAAGCUCAUCUAGGAGCCCAAGGGCAUUUAGACCUUCUUUGAACCUAAAGUAAAGAUGGUAGUUGGAAAAAUAUUUUGUGUAAAUAUAUCACAGAGUAAAAUUUUUUAAACCAAUUUGA